rnacentral:rRNA from 1 species
AACGUAGGAGGCGAGCGUUAUCCGGAUUUACUGGGUGUAAAGCGCGUGUAGGCGGUCCUGCAAGUGGUGCGUGAAAGCGCCCGGCUCAACCGGGCGAGGACGUGGGCGAACUGCAGGGCUAGAGGCAGGUAGAGGCGUGUGGAAUUCCGGGUGUAGUGGUGAAAUGCGUAGAGAUCCGGAGGAACACCAGUGGCGAAGGCGACACGCUGGGCCUGGCCUGACGCUGAGAGGCGAAAGCAUGGGGAGCGAACGGGAUUAGAAAC